UGUUCUGUGGUUUAAACGGUUAAAGCGUCAGUCAUGAAAAUACAGAGUCGCGGGUUCAACUCCCACCAGAACGU
rnacentral:tRNA from 1 species